rnacentral:lncRNA from 1 species
UUUGUCUUGAGAAAUUCAAGACUUAAAUGAAGGAAGCAGCAUUUCUACAGGCCGGCAGUUGAGCUGCGGCACUAGGGGCUACGGCUCUCUUCUUUCACUAAACAUCCCUUGCAAGCGUCUGUGGCAUGCGGAUCUGUGACAUCCUCUUCCCUUGAUGUGUCACAGGGUAUAACCACAGAGGGUGUAAUGCAAGAAUCUCCCCGAAGACACCAAUGAUCAGAAACAGGAAAUGUUGGAACUUGCCACCGCUGUCAUCCAGCCCACCAAGCAUCUUUGCCCUGACCAGUGCCAUGUGCCAGAAUUAACAGCACUUGAAACUCGUAGCAGUCUAAGAAGCCUCACCUUCUCCUUCCCAUCAUCCCCGACACAGACAACUACAUUCACUGUUGACGGAGGACAAACCUGUGACAAGAUUCCACAAAAUGGCCUUAUGUAUGGAGGAAAGCAUUCGACGGGGAAAGUGGAUUUUGCGUCAAUCAUGUCAGACUUGCAAGAGAGAAGUUUCUGA